AGAGUUUGAUCCUGGCUCAGGACGAACGCUGGCGGCGUGCUUAAUACAUGCAAGUCGAGCGGGCACCAUUUGGUGGCAACACCUUUGAAGUGCGAGCGGCGAACGGGUGAGUAACACGUGAGCAACCUGCCCCCAAGUCUGGGAUAAGCCUGGGAAACUGGGUCUAAUACCGGAUGCCCUCGUCGGGCCGCAUGACACGA
rnacentral:rRNA from 1 species